rnacentral:tRNA from 1 species
GGAUUGUGGCUCAGUGGUAGAGUGCUUGCCUACAUGGGCAAGACCUGGGUUCGAUCCUCAGCACCA